rfam:Oryza punctata chromosome 5, whole genome shotgun sequence.
UUUAAGCGUAGUCAUGAGUUUACAUAUCUAGCUUUGAUCGUCCAUUUUAUUUAAAAUUUUUUGAUAAACCAUGAAUAAUAACGCGUGACGGUUUUUCAAUUUUUUUAAAAUAUUUUCAAAUAAGAUGGAUGAUUAAAGUUGGAUAUGAAAACUUAUGGCUGCGUUUAAA